rnacentral:rRNA from 1 species
GGGCCCGCACAAGCGGUGGAGCAUGUGGUUUAAUUCGAUGAUACGCGAGGAACCUUACCAGGGCUUAAAUGUACGUUGCAUAAAUCAGAGAUGGUUUUUUCUUCGGACUACGUACAAGGUGCUGCAUGGUUGUCGUCAGCUCGUGCCGUGAGGUGUCAGGUUAAGUCCUAUAACGAGCGCAACCCCUGUCGUUAGUUGCCAGCAUUUAAGAUGGGUACUCUAGCGAGACUGCCGGUGCAAACCGUGAGGAAGGUGGGGAUGACGUCAAAUCAUCACGGCCCUUACGUCCUGGGCUACACACGUGCUACAAUGGCCGGUACAGAGAGCAGCCACUACGCGAGUAGGAGCGAAUCUAUAAAACCGGUCUCAGUUCGGAUCGCAGUCUGCAACUCGACUGCGUGAAGCUGGAAUC